GGGGGUGUAGCUCAGUGGUAGAGCGCUCGCUUAGCAUGCGGGAGGGCCCGGGAUUGAUGCCCGGCACUUCCA
rfam:Schistosoma mattheei strain Denwood, Zambia genome assembly, scaffold: SMTD_contig0008188